GUGAGGAAUAUUGCGCAAUGGAGGCAACUCUGACGCAGCCAUGCCGCGUGCAGGAAGAAGGCGCUACGCGUUGUAAACUGCUUUUAACCGGGAAGAAACCCCAGGACGUGUCCUGGGUUGACGGUACCGGAGGAAUAAGCACCGGCUAACUUCGUGCCAGCAGCCGCGGUAAUACGAAGGGUGCAAGCGUUAUCCGGAUUCAUUGGGUUUAAAGGGUGCGUAGGAGGAGCGUUAAGUCAGUGGUGAAAUCCUGCAGCUUAACUGUAGACUUGCCAUUGAUACUGUCGCUCUUGAGUGCGCUUGAAGUGGGCGGAAUGUGCCGUGUAGCGGUGAAAUGCUUAGAUAUGGCACAGAACACCAAUUGCGAAGGCAGCUCACUAAGGCGAUACUGACGCUGAGGCACGAAAGCGUGGGGAUCGAACAGGAUUAGAUACCCUAGUAGUCC
rnacentral:rRNA from 1 species